GCUAAGGCCUGCAGGAAGUAUUGGGGCUUGAAUUGGCAAUUACUGUAUGCUGGCGUCCUUGAAAACCUAAGUUAUGUAUUCCACCGCAGGCUGACCGAAGGGCUCUGGCACUGGCUCAAUACCUCAGGAACUUAUUUGAACCGAAAUGUCCCUUCAUCCCAACCUCCUGAGCCAAACAGGAGCCCUCUGGACCUCAUUUUAUUGAGAUCAAGAGCUGCUAGAUACAGUUGAAAGUUUUGCCAUGCACUGAAAGGGAAGCAUUGUAUGUGAAGUUCAAUUUUCUAAAAUGUCUGCCUGUAACACCUUUACUGAGCACGUUUGGAAACCUGGUGAAUGCAAGAAUUGCUUUAAACCUAAAAGCUUGCACAAGCUCCCUCCUGACCCUGAGAAGACAGCCAUCACCCACGGCCAUGUGAAAACUAAUGCCAAUCACAGUAACAACCACCAUAUCAGGAACACUGCAAAUUUCCGGCCUCCUGUUGCUAAAAAACCCACUAUAGCUGUGAAGCCCACCAUGAUGGUGGCAGAUGGGCAAAGUGUAUAUGGUGAGCUUAACAUCCAAGGACCCUGUGAGAACAAACCUGUCAUUAUAGAGAGGAACCGAAACAGGACAGCCUUGAAUCAGAAACCACUCAAUAAUAAUAAUAAUGAAGAUGAUAUUGAAGGAGUUAGCCAUGUUUCUAAACCUUUUGGCAAUAAUGACAGUGCAAAGAAGAUAUCAAGUAACAAUAAUGGACUAACUGAAAUGUUGAAGGAGAUAGCAGGCUUGGAUACUACUCCUCAGAUAAGAGUAAAUGAAACAAAUGACAAAGAAAUAUUCUUAGGAAGAAUAAAUGAUUGCUAUAAACGAUCACUGGAAAGAAAGCUUCCACCAAGUUGCAUGAUGGGUGGGAUAAAGGAUACUCAGGGCAAGCAUGUUAUUCUGAGCGGGAGCACAGAAGUGAUCAGUAAUGAAGGGGGCCAGUUCUGUUACCCAGAGUUUUCUAGUGGAGAGGAGUGUGAGGAAGAUGUACUUUUCAGUAACAUGGAAGAGGAGCAUGAAAGCUGGGAUGAGAGUGAUGAAGAGCUGUUGGCCAUGGAGAUUCGUAUGAGAGGGCAACCUCGAUUCGCUAACUUUAGGGCAAACACUUUGUCUCCUGUUCGAUUCUAUGUGGACAAAAAAUGGAAUACUGUCCCUCUGCGAAAUAAGUCUCUGCAGAGAAUCUGUGCUGUAGACUACGAUGACAGUUAUGAUGAGAUCCUGAAUGGUUAUGAAGAGAAUUCUGUGGUCUCCUAUGGACCAGGAAGCAUUCAGAGCGUGGCAUCAUCUGACUCCACAUCACCAGAUUCUUCUUUAACAGAAGAAUCACGUUCUGAGACAGCCAGUAGUUUAUCCCAGAAGAUCUGUAAUGGAAUAUCUCCUGGUACCCCAGGAUAUUCUAAGGACAUGAAGGAAAGUGAGCCCAAUUAUGAAAGUCUCUCUGGUAACAAUCAAGAGGAUUCAUCGCAAGCAUCCAAAAUCUCAGAAAAAAUUCCAGAGACACACAAAGCAGUCCUUGCUCUCCGAUUAGAAGAGAAAGAUGGCAAGAUUGCUGUACAAACUGAGAAUCAAGAAAGAAAAGCCUCUACAGAUACUGCUGGGCAAGCAGUAAUCAUAAACCUCAUUCCUGUACAAGAGCAAGCAAAGCCCUACCGCAUAGUGAACCUUGAGCAGCCGUUGUGCAAGCCAUAUACUGUUGUAGAUGUGUCAGCAGCAAUGGUUAGUGAACACCUCGAGGGCCCUGUUUACAGCCCCAAGACAAAAACCUCAUCUUCUACUCCAAACUCUCCAGUGACAUCACCUAUAUCAACAUCAGGACAAAUAAGUGCCCAUUUUCAAAAAUCCAGUGCAAUUCGAUACCAGGAAGUAUGGACAUCCAGUACAAGUCCACGACAAAAGAUACCUAAGGUGGAAUUAAUUAGUGGCGGAACUGAGCCAAAUGUCCCUCCAAGGAAAAACUGUCACAAAUCAGCACCUACUUCACCCAUUGCUGCAAAUGUUUCCUCUAAAACCAUCCCUGUUAAGUCACCUAAUUUGUCUGAAAUAAAAUUUAAUAGUUAUAACAAUGCUGGUAUGCCCCCUUUUCCAAUUAUCAUUCACGACGAGCCAACUUAUGCUCGGAGUUCCAAAAAUGCUAUCAAAGUUCCCAUUGUAAUUAAUCCAAAUGCAUAUGACAAUCUAGCCAUCUAUAAAAGUUUUCUUGGAACAAGUGGAGAACUUUCAGUGAAGGAAAAAAACACAAGUAUGAUAAGCCAUACUUACGAAGAAAUAGAAACUUCAAGCAAAGUGUCUGAUGAUACCACUGGCAACCCCACUGAUUGUCCCCAAGCUAAAGGGUUUUCAAAUAGCACAGAAUGUAAAAGGGGCUCAGUGGCUCAGAAAGUCCAGGAGUUUAACAGCUGUCUUAACAGAGGUCUGUCUUCCCCACAGAGAAGCUGUAGUUCCAACCACAGCUCCCCAACUAAGAGCCAGAGAACCACUCAAGAACCUGUUGCCAGAACAGAAGGCACUCAGGAGUCUCAGAUGGUGGGGAGUGGCAGCAGCAACAAGGAGAAAGCAAGCAUAGUGCUUUCUCAAAUUGUGGCUUCUAUCCAACCCCCACAGUCCCCUCCAGAAAUGUCCCAGUCAGGCCUUAAAACUUGCAGUGUGGAAGAGCUUUAUGCAAUUCCUCCAGAGGUUGAUGUUGCUAAAAGUACACCAGUCCGGCCGAAAUCUCUCUUUCCAUCUCAUUCCAGUGGUGAGCAUGAAGCACCUCAGACCACAGAAAAUCUUACCACUAAAGUCCAAAAAGAUACACUGGCAAAGCAAGUCACAACCUCUCCCUCCAAGUUAGUGAUUAACCCCCAGAGUGAGCCAUCACCUCCUUUUCCUCCACCACGUUCUACGUCCUCCCCUUACCACGCAAGUAACCUUUUGCAGAAGCAUUUCACCAACUGGACCAAGCCAACCAGCCCUACCAGGUCAACAGAAGCUGAAUCCGUUUUGCACUCUGAAGGCAGCAGGCGGGCAGCUGAUGCAAAACCUAAACGCUGGAUAUCAUUUAAAAGUUUCUUCCGUCGUUGGAAAACAGAUGAGGAGGACAACAAAGAGAAAGAACGAGAGAAAGGGAAACUGGUGGGUCUGGAUGGCACAGUCAUCCACAUGCUGCCCCCUCCUCCAGUCCAGCACCAACACUGGUUCACAGAGGCAAAAGGAGAAUCCAGUGAGAAGCCAGCCAUCAUCUUCAUGUACAGGUGUGACCCUGCCAAAGGCCAACCCAGUGUAAAUCAAAGUAAGGCCCGAGCAGACCAGUCAGCAAUCAUGGAGAAGGGUGGAACACAGGAUGAGUUACUACAGGUCUCAGAGGAGAAGAAGAAAAGGAGUCAUUCUUCUCCAUCACAGAUUCCUAAAAAAAUUCUCAGUCAUGUGAGCCAUGAAGUGACAGAGGAUUUUUCUCCUUGGGAUCCAAGAACUGUUAUUGUGAAGCAAGAUGGUGGAAGCUGCACACCAGCAUUGCCCAUACCUGAACUGGAAAGGGAAGAGGAAAAAGAAGACAUUUCAGAUCCUAUAGACCUGAAUCCUUGUAGUGCAAUAUAUAGCAACUUAGGGCAAUCUAGAGCAGCUAUGAUACCUCCCAAGCAUCCACGGCAGCCUAAGGGGGCUUUGGAUGAUGCCAUAACCUUUGGUGAGAAAACAGACCAAGAAGCACCUAAUGCCUCCCAAGCUGAACCACCCCCACUGCCAAAGAAAAUGAUCUUAAGAGCCAACACAGAGCCAAUCUCCAAAGACCUCCAAAAAUCCAUGGAAACUAGUCUUUGUGUCAUGGCUAAUCCCACCUAUGAUAUCGAUCCCAACUGGGAUGCCAGCAGUGCUGGCUCUUCCAUCAGUUAUGAACUCAAGGGACUGGACACUGAGUCUUAUGACUCCUUAGAGAGACCUUUACACAAGGAGCGACCAGCAGCAAACAGCAUCUCCAGUUUAACCACUCUAAAUAUUAAGGAUAGAUUUUCCAACAGUAUGGAGUCCCUGUCCAGUCAACGUGGUCCCUCUUGGAGACAGGGCCAAGGCAUCCAGAAGCCACAGAGACAUGCACUUUAUCGAGGACUUGAGAAUCGGGAAGAAGUUGUGGGAAAAAUCCGAAGCCUUCAUACAGAUGCCUUAAAGAAAUUGGCUAUUAAAUGUGAAGACCUCUUUAUGGCUGGGCAGAAAGACAAACUCCGUUUUGGGAUGGACAGCUGGUCAGACUUCAGGCUAACCAAUGACAAGCCAUGUUGUGAGGCAGGUGAUGCAGUUUACUACACAGCUUCAUAUGCAAAAGAUCCACUUAAUAGUUACGCAGUCAAGAUCUGUAAGAGCAAAGCUAAAGAAUCUCAGCAGUAUUAUCACAGCUUGGCUGUUCGGCAGAGUCUGGCUGUCCAUUUUAACAUCCAGCAGGACUGUGGUCAUUUCCUUGCUGAAGUCCCUAAGCGUCUGCUUCCCUGGGAAGAUCCUGAUGCCCCUGAAGAGGAAGAGAAUGAAAUACAAGAGAAUGAAGAAGAUAUGAAAGGAGAAAUUGAUGGGAAAAGCCCAGAGUCGUGCUUUGAAACAGAGUCAUCCCAGAAAGAAAGCCAGGGAGUCAUUAGCAAAAAGCAGAGAAGUCACGUUGUAGUCAUCACCAGAGAGGUUCCCUAUCUCACCGUGGCUGAUUUUGUGCAGGACUCUCUAAUCCACCAUGGGAAAAGCCCUGAUUUGUAUGAGAGGCAAGUGUGUCUGCUGCUCUUACAGCUGUGCUCCGGCCUUGAACACCUCAAACCCUACCACGUCACUCAUUGCGAUCUACGUCUGGAGAACCUGCUGCUUGUCCACUACCAGCUCGGGGGAACCACCCAAGGCCUUGGGCCUAAAGAACUCAAUCCCACCUCAUCUUGUCUCACGAGGCUUAUAGUAAGCAACUUCUCUCAGGCCAAGCAGAAGAGCCACCUGGUGGAUCCUGAGAUCCUCAGAGACCAGUCUCGCCUUGCCCCAGAGAUCAUAACAGCCACCCAGUACAAAAAGUGUGAUGAGUUCCAGACAGGGAUCCUCAUCUAUGAGAUGCUACACCUGCCCAACCCCUUUGAUGAGAACCCAGAACUGAAGGAGAAGGAGUACACUCGAGCAGACCUGCCUCAAAUCCCACUCCGCUCCCCUUAUUCAUGGGGCCUUCAGCAGCUGGCCAGCUGCCUCCUGAACCCCAACCCUUCUGAGCGUAUCCUCAUUUCAGAUGCCAAAGGUGUCCUCCAAUGUCUGCUCUGGGGCCCCAGGGAAGAUCUCUUCCAGACUUUCUCCACUGCCUCCAGCCCAGUGCAGAGGAAAGCCCUGCUCCAAAACUGGCUGGACAUCAAGCGAACAUUGCUGAUGAUCAAGUUUGCUGAAAAGUCCCUGGAUAGGGUGGGUGGGAUCAGCCUUGAGGACUGGUUAUGUGCUCAAUAUUUGGCUUUUGCUACUCCUGACUCCCUCAGUUGUAUUGUGAAAAUCCUGCAACACCGUUAAUGUAUCCUGGUUGUUGCUUUUACUUUAUCUUCUCCUUCUUCAAGUCACCCACACACUUGCACAUCCUAGUACUCACACGGAAUUCAAGGAAAGAAGAGAGACAAACUGUUCAUUCCUGUUCACAAACAAAUGCAUUUACUCAGAAGGUUAUCACAGCUUCAAAUCAAGUGAUAAGCUGAGUCUGUCUUAACUUCACAGAAAUUCAACUGCACAUUCAGUUUACUUUCCUUUAGAACACUUUUCACUCUAUUGUCCCACAAAUACAGGUAAAAAAUGAAAAUGAACAUUUUUAAGGGAUAGCUCCUUUGGUAUGAACUCAGUGAGUUAUGUCCAUUUGCUCCAUAAUUCUGAAUUUUACCUGUCUUUUUAACAUCAAGUAUUUAUUCUCUCUAGUAGUCAAUAGAUUUGACCAAUUCUUACCAUCAUCCACUAAGCUCUCACAGCAGACUUUUUUCCUCUGUUACCAGGCAGAACUACCAUGCUUAGUGUCCACCCAAUUUUGGCUCCUGGGACUAUAUUCUUCGUUCCAGUGGAUAGUAGAAGGACAAGGAGAGAAUCCAUCCCUUGGAUCAUGGACCAAUUUUCAUUUCUAUUAUCAAUAAGAAGGUGUACUGCAUGAAGGAUGGCCCUAACAAUUUCCCCUCUGCUGCUACUGCCUGAUUCUCCUUCACCUCUACUCUGUCCCCAUUUGCCAAUGAAGUUUGGGUUUAUUGGCCACCUGUGGCUUGUUACAGAGCUGACCCACAGUGGUGUCACCCAUUCCUCAUCAGAGUGGAGUGCAGUUUAUAUCUUAUAAAGAGCUGGCAAUACAGAAGGAGAUGAUUUUUCUGCAUGUGCAGUUCUCUAGGGACCGUUGGGGAACAGAGUUUAAAGUACUGUUCUUUGAUUACUGUCAAAGUUGGCAGCCAGGGCUAGUGGUGCCCAGAUUAUAGCUUUUUCUGUCAAGCAUUAAUUGGCCAGCUUCCUACUAUCAGUAGCCAGUAUUAACUAGUCUACCAAAUGCUAUAGACAACUGCCCUGAAUAAAACAGCUGUUAGUCCACCUACAAGAUUUCCUUAAAGGGCAUGGCACAGAUGGCUAUUAUAAUUGCCAGAGGCAGGAGAAGGGAAGAAGGCCAUGGACAAGAUUGCUGCUGACCACCUCCUCAGGAUACAGACCUUUUCUGGAGAGACUGCCUCCCAGUUGCCCUGGCACAUUGCUCCUUAUGAUUCUGAAAUGGCUCUGGAGCACAGAUGACAGGGAAUUUUGAUUGCUGAGGAUGCCUGAACACUGGAGACCUCAGAUAACUCACCACAUGCCAUGGAAGGUGCAUGGAAACAACCAGAAGAUAGAGCAGUGUUGAUCACCAGUCUCGUCUCGGCUUAAGAAUCAGAGUGGUCCUGGAAGAGGUGCUGGACUCCUGAGAAACCUAUAAGGGGUUAGGAGGCUACCAGGGGCCCCAGGAGUAAGAGGACUCUGGAUCUCUAUUGAAGGGACAGAGCUCUAAACUCUGUGGGUCUACCUAUCACUCACCAGCCCACACUUGAGCUGAAGUCCUGGAACUCAGAGACAGAG